rnacentral:rRNA from 1 species
UACGUAGGGGGCCAGCGUUGCUCGGAAUUACUGGGCGUAAAGGGUUCGUAGGUGGUGCGGCAAGUUGGAAGUGAAAUCUCUGGGCUUAACCCAGAGGCUGCUUUCAAAACUGCCGUGCUCGAGUGCGAGAGAGGCCAGUGGAAUUGCAGGUGUAGCGGUGAAAUGCGUAGAUAUCUGCAGGAACACCCGUGGCGAAGGCGGCUGGCUGGAUCGCAACUGACACUGAGGAACGAAAGCUAGGGGAGCAAACAGG